UCACUGACUCUUCUGGUCUCCUUCAGUUGUCUAGAAUCCCCUUGAACAAUGGUACUGUCACAUACUGGCAUCCCCACAAGGCUUAGCAGUGUCAGAAGAAGCUAUUACUGGUGCCUCCACCACUAUAUGAGAAGAUGGCCCCCAACACUGAUACAGUGCUCUGCUGCUGACCUUGCUGUCGACCUUGUUGCUGACCUUAUUCCUUUCUCCCGAUAUGUGUCAGGCAAGUGGACUUUUAGCC
rnacentral:lncRNA from 1 species